rnacentral:rRNA from 1 species
UACGUAGGCAGCGAGCGUUGUUCGGAAUUACUGGGCGUAAAGAGUGUGUAGGCGGUGUUCCCAGUCUGUUGUGAAAUCUCCCGGCUUAACUGGGAGGGUGCAGCGGAACUAGAAUGCUAGAGGGUGGAGAGGUAAGCGGAAUCCUGGUGUAGCGGUGAAAUGCGUGAGAUAUCAGGAGGAACACCUGUGGUGUAGACAGCUUACUGGACACUUCUGACGCUGAGACACGAAAGCG